GACGAACGCUGGCGGCGUGCUUAACACAUGCAAGUCGAACGGAAAGGCCCUGCUUUUGUUGGGUGCUCGAGUGGCGAACGGGUGAGUAGCACGUGAGUAGCCUGCCCUUGACUGUGGAAUAACUUCAGGAAACUGGGGCUAAUACCGGAUAGGAGCUCCUGCUGCAUGGUGUGGGUUGGAAAGUUUCGGCGGUUGGGGAUGGGCUACCGGCUUAUCAGCUUGUUGGUGGGUUAUUGGCUAACCAUGGCUUUGACGGGUAGCCGGCCUGGGAGGCUGACCGGCAAAAUUGGGAAUGAGAUCCGGCCAAGCAUCUAACGGAAGGAAGAAGUGGGAAAUAUUGCCAAAUGGGAGGAAGCCUGAUGCAGCAACGCCGCGUGCGGGAGGACGGCUUUGGGGUUGAAAACCGAUUCCGCCUGUGCCGAAGUGUGCGUGACGGUAAUGGGUAAAGAAGCACCGGCUAACUACGUG
rnacentral:rRNA from 1 species